rnacentral:rRNA from 1 species
UACGUAGGGUGCAAGCGUUGUCCGGAAUUAUUGGGCGUAAAGAGCUCGUAGGCGGUUCGUCGCGUCGGCUGUGAAAACCUGAGGCUCAACCUCAGGCCUGCAGUCGAUACGGGCGGACUUGAGUACUGCAGGGGAGACUGGAAUUCCUGGUGUAGCGGUGAAAUGCGCAGAUAUCAGGAGGAACACCGGUGGCGAAGGCGGGUCUCUGGGCCGAUACUGACGCUGAGGAGCGAAAGCGUGGGGAGCAAACAGG